rnacentral:hammerhead_ribozyme from 1 species
AUCCAGCUGACGAGUCCCAAAUAGGAAUUGACGCGCUUCGUGGAU